rnacentral:rRNA from 1 species
CAGUCGCCACGGUAAUACGUAGGGGGCAAGCGUUAUCCGGAAUUACUGGGUGUAAAGGGAGCGUAGACGGUUAAACAAGUCUGAAGUGAAAUGCCGGGGCUCAACCCCGGAGCUGCUUUGGGAACUGUAGAACUGGAGUGUCGGAGGGGUAAGCGGAAUUCCCAGUGUAGCGGUGAAAUGCGUAGAUAUUGGGAGGAACACCGGCGGCGAAGGCGGCUUACUGGACGACAACUGACGUUGGGGCUCGAAGGCGUGGGUAGCAAACAGGAUUAGAUACCCCCGUAGUCCCUGUCUCUUAUAC